rnacentral:ncRNA from 1 species
GAACUGAAGAGUUUGAUCAUGGCUCAGAUUGAACGCUGGCGGCAGGCCUAACACAUGCAAGUCGAGCGAGAAAGGUUUUCGGACUGAGUACAGCGGCGGACGGGUGAGUAACGCGUAGGAAUCUACCCAGUAGUGGGGGACAACUUAGGGAAACUUAAGCUAAUACCGCAUACGCCCUGAGGGGGAAAGCGGGGGAUCUUCGGACCUCGCGCUAUUGGAAGAGCCUGCGUUAGAUUAGCUAGUUGGUGGGGUAAAGGCUCACCAAGGCGACGAUCUAUAGCUGGUCUGAGAGGAUGAUCAGCCACACUGGGACUGAGACACGGCCCAGACUCCUACGGGAGGCAGCAGUGGGGAAUAUUGCGCAAUGGGCGAAAGCCUG